rnacentral:lncRNA from 1 species
UUGGGUUGAUGGGUGAGUGCCACGGUGUGUCGGAGAGUGAAGCCGAGACCUUGAUGUAGAGGAGUGCACGUUAGCAAAGAUCGAAAUGGAGAUCUCGUGAAGAACACGUCAAGAACAUGCAUGAACUCUAGUCUUCGAUCCGUCUUCACAUGUGUGUUCUUGAGCAGUCUUGUUCUUGAUUCUGGGGUUGUGACAAGGGACCUCGCCAUUAAAAGUCGCGGGGCUUGGUAGUCGAGGGGUUCGGGAGAACGAAGUCCGGCAUGCACGCCGAGGCCAUUACACCGAGGUGCACGUUCAACACUUAGUCGUUUCCAGCUUCAUUUCUUACGUGUGCAUGCCUUGAUCUCAUCAUGCCGAGGUGUCAGCACGAGGUCUAGUCCAAAAUACUCCCAAGAUAUGAGCCUUGACUUGGGCAAUGUCGAGGUAAUGAUGCCGAGGCCUGAGAAAAUACUUAGCGCGUAUCGCAACUCAUUUAGGCUCGUAUCGACCAACUUGCCUUCCAGAAACAGUAACUUUCGACACACGACUCCAAUUGCUUUGAGACCAGUUCCAUAGUCAAGAUGACUCAAUAAGCUCGAACUUUGGUGAAGAAACCAUCGGAGCUUGGGAAGUGGAAGGCUUCCUGGAUUUCACAUCUUUGCACCGUAUGGGAAUCACCGGAAAAUAAGCUUUUAGACCCAUGUGAACUCCGGAAACAUUAUCUUUGAAACCACCGCUCCGAAUUGAGUGAUCCCAAGCGUUCUGAGAAGGUCUUUCACAGAUCUCAAACUUUCAUGAAGACCGGGCAGGCUAGUUCGGACCGGAAGGGCUCCGUCCCUCAUGAUCUUUGAAGUCCACUGUUCGGUUCUCGGGUACGCGCAAUACUGGUGCAUCCUCCGGAAGCCAUAUCUUUCUCCUCACUGGUCCGAAUUGGAUGAUUCCAACUGUUCUGGGAUCUUUGCUUGAUUAUAUCCAACUUUGAUGAAGACCCCGACAGCUGAUUCGGACUGGAAGGUUCCCCGGAUUGCUGAUCUUUGAAACGCGCGGGCAAGGACAGGUUUUAGCCGAGAAAAGCUUCCCGCGGUUAGGAAAAUGACCGAGGGCUAUGUACCGCUGUAAGCUUUUUAGCCGUAAAAUUCCUCUCGCUUCGGCCAAAAACUUAACCCGAGGUAAUUUGCACCCGAUACUCGACCUUGGCCGAUUUUGGUCGAUCGGUAAGGGUUUUGGCCGAUAAUGAGCGUUCGGUAAGCUUUUUGACCAAGGUUUCUGUCCAGCCGGUACGAGUUUUGGCCGAGAAAUUCCUCCAAGCGGUUUUCACCAUUUUUGACCCUUUUCUUCACCGUUUUCUUUUCUGCUCCUCUUCUUAAGCUCCAAAUGGCUUCCAAAGCACUUGAUAAAGACUUCAAAACAUGCAAAACUCUUUGGGACCUAAUGCAAGCCCUAAAUCCUAUUUUGAUGCCUAAAGACUCAAUUUACAUGGGAAAACACAUGAUGAGAACUCUAAAAUGCAAUCUAAAUGAUGCAAAAUAUAGACAUAUCAACUCCCCCACACUUGUCCUUUGCUUGUCCUCAAGCGAAAAGAACAAAUGAGAGAGAGAGGUUGUAGUGCAAACGGAGCUCAUAUUUCCUUUUUAGAGAGAAAUAAUCACAAUGAGAACUCAGAUUCAUGCUCAAAUAUGCAAUGCAAAGCUAUACUCAGAUAUUUUCCAACUAAAGCACGGAAUCUCCACAAGUUCUCAUCAAACUCAACUCUUUCACAUUCAUUAAGUUCGUAACCGGUGAAUCAAAUGAUGCAAUGUUCAAACAGGCUGGCUUGGCUAGGGUAAGGUCAUGAGAUAAAAAAUGAUCUCAUCAAUAUUCAAGCGGGUGUAAUGCAGCAAUGGAUCUCUCUAUGAACGACCAAACUUUGGCAGAAUGCUAAAGGUAAAAAGCAACCUAUGCAUACAAGGGCAAGACUCAUCACACCCCACACUCCACUCAAAGCUUUCUCACUUGCUCACCCUCUCAAGAUCCUCACUCUUCACAAUCGUUAUCUCUUCACUAGGGGACUCACUUUUUGUUUUCAUUCUCGGGUCUUGGAGUGCACUUGUUCACACGGCUCUUAUCUUUCACAGGUUCUAGCCUCUUUUUUUUUUUCUUUUUAGAACACUUGAGCCUUUUGGCUUCUUUUCAUUUCAGAGACUAAAUUUUUCUUUUAAAAACAUCAGAGCUUGCUUCUUCAAAUUCAAAACUCCAAGACUCAAUUCUUUUUCUUUCAUUCCCCUAGCUAUUUCCACUUCCUCAUGUCCACUCAACUCACCUUUUUCCACUCACCAACAAGUCUUUUCCCCCACACUUAUUCCUCGCCAAUACUCUCAGUUCCUUGAUGUUGGAACAUAGCACUCAAUGAGACGUGCCCUUGUCGCUCUAAACCUAAAACUUUCUGCUAAGUUCGGUCCAAGGUGGCCUUUCAAUUCACACACAAACAUUGGCUCGAAAGAAGGAUGGGUUCAAGGCGAGGGAACUGAUCCAUGAUGCGGACUCAGCUACUUGAGCUAAGGAAAAAGAGUGGUAAAAGCAACGAUUCUAGCUCAAGUAUGUAUGUCGGUAUCCACAAGCCUAUUCAAGCAAUGCAUCAAAAGAUAUUUACAAUUCAAGUUCAGGGUUAUCACUUAGUUAGAGUUGAGUGUAAUUCAAACUUGCUUCUCAGAUUCAAAUCGUUUCAAGCUUUACAAGCACAGAAUGAGUUUCACAAGCAUAUUUAGUUCAAGUUCUCAAGUGAUUUACUCUCUAGGAAAAAAUCUAUCAUUGCUCCUUGCACUGAUGCAGUCCUACAUGAUGCAACUAGACUCGAUCUUAGAAUGCAAAAUGCAACUAGAAUGAUGUGUUUUUUUGUUUUUUUUUUUCUUUGUGAAAUUUUUCAGGUUUAACAUAUGUACUAAGCUAGAUGAGACUCAAGAAUGCAAAAGUCAAAUAAGAACAAAGAAAACAAGAUCAGAAAACACGGAGCUCCUCCCCCACACUUAAAUAACACAGUCCCUUGUGUUAUAGAAGCGUGUGAGAGAAGUAAAAAGAUAAACUAGACUAAUGCAAUAUGGUAUAUACAAGAUGCAUAUUUACAAGUGGUUUGAAGUCGAUACCUCAAUCGGAGAGGUCUGAUCCCAAGUAGUGCGAGGGAUUUGAUGUUGAGCAGGAGGGUGUGGACUGACGUGGUGGGCUGCUCUCCGAGGGUUCAGGUAAGAAAGCUGUGGCAGGAUCGAUCCAGUCCUCUUUGCCUGGUGGAAACUCCGGGUUCCUCGCAUUUGAGCUUUCUCCAACCUCUUCUUGUGUAACCGGUGCGGUUGAGGUAGCCGAGUUCUUAUCCGGUGAGGAUGGCCUAGUGAGUUGCUUUACCUUCUUUUUCAAGUGCCUUACACAGUCCACCAACGCGUGAAUGGUCUUGUCUUGCCACUUACACCACUUUUGGAGGGUAUUUACUCUCGAAUACAGCGUCUUGGUGUGGUAUUCAGGCUCACCCCACACGUAUGGAUCAAAGUGAUAUCGGCCUGCUCCGAUCCUUCUCUCAGCGUGUCUCUGUUCUUCGUUCUCACAUCCGGCCGGGCCAUUCUCGUUCUGAGGUUUGCUAGACGCGGCUUUGGUGCACUUGCGCAUUGGUGGGUCGAGAGAUGGGUUGUACAACUGAUCUUUGAGGACAUAGAAGGAGACGUUACACUGCUUAUCAAGCAUGGUGAGGCCUCGGUUAGGCAAUAGAACCUGCUUCCCGUCUCUGUGCAUCAGGCGUGAAGUUGUAAACCCAUUUUUCCCCUGACUUGCCUCCGAAGAAACCACUUUUACUUAGGUAUUGCUCAUCAAUGAGAUUCGGCUUUGAUGGUGAAUCAGGGAAUAUGAACCCUUGAGCUCUCAAAAUCUUAGUGACAAUCCAACCGUUCUGAAGCCUCCUUGCUCCUUUCUUCUUUCGGUCGCACCAUACAUUGUGCCGGUAAGUGAGCAUUUGAAUCGCAAAGAACGCGCCUAAAGAGGGCACAUGCAUUGGCCCUUGGAACUCCUUCUUGUUCUUCAUUUGAGUGAUGAGCGGCUUCAGUCCGAGUCCUAACAGUUCAAGCUCGGCCGUAUGAAUAACACCAGGGUUAUAGGUCGAGAAAAACGUAGAGGCUAGGACUCGGUUUGUAUAUCUGAUCGCGGGGUUUCUGAUGCAACUUGUCUUCCUCUUGCCUCCUAAAUAAGGUCCGAAGGCAAUUGUUUCCCACAGGGCAGCCAACUCUUCUUUUGGGUACACGAACUUGUCAAACGAGCUUCCGUUCCUUUCAAAACCAAAUAUUUCAUCAAGCUCCUUGAAACUGACCUUAUAGUGCACGUUUUCCAUGUCAAACUCAAUGUGACCGAACCCUUUGCCAUGUAAGCGCUUGGGAUCUCUCUUGGGGUAGAUGACAACCUCCAAAGUGGCAAGAAACUGUUGUGUGAUCCCCUCAUAAGCAACAUCGCUCAUCUCAAAGAACUCGGCCAAGCCCAUAUUUUGAAAGAUGAGGGUAACAUCAUUGAGUAUAUCAAGCUUUCUCAACAACUCCAUAUCAGGAAACCGACCUUGAGCCACCCUUAUAGAGUUAAAAUGGUCUAAAUACUCCUCAGUAGUCGGGAAAUGCUCUUCCUCGGGUUCGGCCUUUGGUUCCUUCUUUGGCCUCUUGCCACAAUCGGUGUCAUGAGGAACCAGGGCUCUCAGCUCAUCUUCAUCGUUUCCAGUAGCUGCCUGCUUCCCAUUCCUUCUUGAUUCAAGGGCCGGCAACGGAGUGGCCUCGGCGUUCCUUGCUCGUUUAGCGGCUGGCUCGCCAUCAGGUCUUGCCGAGGGUUUCUUGCUUGUUCCGCCAUUACGUGCCAAGGCAACGGCUUUUCCUUUCGUACCCCUCCUCUGGACCUCGCUUUUGUACGUCUCAUGAGCAGGAACGAUUCGUUCGCCGGUCAUCUGCAAGGUAGAUUCUCAAGGAAACCGUUAGAAUCAAGUGCACCGCUAAGCACAUGUAUUGCAAGAUAGCAAGAACAGAGCUUUUUCUCUAACAAGACCGGUUUUAUAGCUUCUUCAAACAUCAAAGAGAUUAACAACAAGCUAGAAUAACCGGUGAGAGACAAGAUAUCUAGACAGUUCAGCUUAAUAACUCAGUUCACUAUUUAAGCCAAUUCCAAGCGUUUUUUCUCAAGAAUUUUAAAAACUCAAGAACAAAUGAUUUUCAGUGCAAAGACCUAUUUUUCAUGUGUUGUCUAUCCUGAUGGAAUUUUAAAAAUUGUUCCCAAAGGCCGAUAUGUUCUAAAAGAAUCGAUUCCACAUUUUACAAACAUUAAAGCUCGCAAAGAAUAAAGGAAAAAGAUGAGUUCUUUAAGAUGCAAAUACCUUUGGGAAUCCAAGAUUUAAGCUCAGUGAGAUGCUUAUUGAUAGAUAAUACUUUUUAAGUCUCAGGGCUAUCAAUCCCCUUGUCAAAGUAGUACUAAGUGGUGUCAAUCCAGACUUGUCAACGAGACACUAGUCUAUGUUGUUUGUUUAUUUAAGUCAAGAUAAAAAGGUGAAGGUUUUUCUAAGCUAAAUAAUAACGAUUAAGCAUGUAAGUAAGAUAAAUGAUGAGAAUCAAACAAAGCAAAGAUGCAAAUGAUAACUAAGCGAUUCAGAUGAUGAUAAUAUGUAAUAAAGCAAGAGACUUUAGACGAGAUACUUGACUCGGGUGCUUCCAAGUUCAACUAGUGGGUUAAUGAAUCAAAACAUCAAGCGGUUUCAUUUAACUUUGAACUCAAGGCAUGUUAAUCUUCUCAUGAAAGUAUUAAGCAUCUAAAUUGAUCCUCCUUCAUACCAAAAAUGUCUUUUGAGAAGCAUCGAAUCAAUCAGCAAUAAGAAUCAGUUCAAAAAUGUCAUUUAAGAGAACAAACUAUCACUCUCGCGAUGAAAAACUCUUAAACCCUUAACCGAGUGGUUCAGACAUUUCUACAAACACUUUUGAUGCGAGAUAUGUCUCGGAUCUGAACCUCAAGUGAUGUGCUUGGAUCCAGCCUAGAGAUCUCGUCGGUUAAAGAAUGAAACUUGCAGGACUAGACACCUAAACCCACUAAUCUACCUUGAAAGCACCCUAAUCUACUCAUCUAAAGCCGCUUAAACGACUACUCACUAAUCAUAACGAGCUCACUAAGUCCUUUGCAAGACGUGUAGCUGGUCAUGAUGAGGAGUUUAAUGUUAGAUGAUAAAAGAAAUAAAGAAAGAACAAGAUUUCUCAUGCAAAAACAAGGUAUCGGAUUAGAAUGAUCAAGUUUCACCAAAGAGGCAAGUUCUUAAAGCAAAAAAAACAGAUAAGAGAUAAGAUGAUUAGGUUUUUAGUCUCAAAAUGUAUAUAUAGCAAAGGUAAAGUGUCGCGGGUCAGCCCGGAACAAACCGGGUACUGAACCGCGAUCUUGGGUUGAUGGGUGAGUGCCACGGUGUGUCGGAGAGUGAAGCCGAGGUCUUCAUGUCGAGGAGUGCACGUGAGUCUAGAUCCAAAUGAAGAUCUCGUGAAGAACACGUCAAGAACAUGCAUGAACCCUAGUCUUUGAUCCAUCUUCACGUGUGUAUUCUUGGGCAGCUUUGUUCUUGAUUCUGGGUUUGUGACAAUGGAC